rnacentral:lncRNA from 1 species
CGGGGGAGGAGGAGGAGGAGGAGUGUGGCUGUCUCCGCUCACUUCUCCACAGCGAGGGGACUCCGAGAAUAAACAAUUCCCACAGACUACACGCUCCACACCUCAGCUCGCUCUCAGUCGCAGCACAAAAAAAGAAAUCCGUAAAGAAAGACAAAAAAUCGAGGCUUUUUUUUGGACUAAAAAUUUCGAUUCUUUUUUUUUUUUUAAAGGCUGCCUCGCCAUUUCUGUUUCCUGCCAAAAGUGUCGCGACCGUUUUCAUUGGAUUUGCCUGCUCCUGUCGAAUAAUAACGAUGCGCCUCUCCGGCUGACUGUGGGGUGGACAACGCAGGUUAUGUGGCAGGAGUGCAGGGGAGAAGCUGGGGCUAAGUGAAAAUGCCACUCAUUCCUGAAGAGUCCCUGGCCUCGUCAAGGUCCCCCAUGUGAGAUCUGCAAAGCUGAAAGGCGCCACUGACAGAACCACAGCCAGGCCUUAGGACAGACAUCCCAAACAUCCACAGCCACGGAAUGUGUCAACAUCUUUGUGGUGAAAUCCCGCUGACUCCUCGCUUGCUGCUCACAUAAGCCUGGAGCUGGGCCUUCUGGGAUCCUACGGUGUUUAAAAGGCAUACAACAAUGCCUGGGAGGCCCACCUGCCCCAGAUUGCCUCCAACCAUGGUUGCUGUUUCACCACAGUGCUGACUGUGCCCACUACAGAGAGGGAUCACUUUCAGCUAGUGUAUCCUUCAGCCCCCCUGUAGACUCACUUGGUACAAUUGCCUGCCCCCUUUUUGUUAUUUAGGAAGUACAUGCCACUGUCAACCAGAUGACCUAGUGGACAUUUGUUUCCCAGUAGCAGUGCUGAGCCAUACG